CUUGGUGGUGAUGGCUGAGGGGUUCCUCGCGUACCCAUCCCAAACACGACUGUUAAGCUCUCCAGUGCCGAUGGUACUUGGACCGAAAGGUCCUGGGAGAGGUAGAACGCCGCCAAGC
rnacentral:rRNA from 1 species